GACGAACCGAGCGAACGUUGUUCGGAAUCACUGGGCUUAAAGGGCGCGUAGGCGGGCGGCCGCGUCCGGGGUGAAAUCCUCCCGCCCAACGGGAGAACGGCCUCGGAUACGGGCGGCCUCGAGGGGGGUAGGGGCAGGCGGAACUGUGGGUGGAGCGGUGAAAUGCGUUGAGAUCCACAGGAACUCCGGUGGCGAAGGCGGCCUGCUGGACCCCUCCUGACGCUGAGGCGCGAAGGUCAGGGGAGCAAACGGG
rnacentral:rRNA from 1 species